rnacentral:rRNA from 1 species
CAGGCUUAACACAUGCAAGUCGAGGGGCAGCAUGGUCUUAGCUUGCUAAGGCCGAUGGCGACCGGCGCACGGGUGAGUAACACGUAUCCAACCUGCCGUCUACUCUCGGACAGCCUUCUGAAAGGAAGAUUAAUACAAGAUGGCAUCAUGAGUCCACAUGUUCACAUGAUUAAAGGUAUUCCGGUAGACGAUGGGGAUGCGUUCCAUUAGAUAGUAGGCGGGGUAACGGCCCACCUAGUCUUCGAUGGAUAGGGGUUCUGAGAGGAAGGUCCCCCACAUUGGAACUGAGACACGGUCCAAACUCCUACGGGAGGCAGCAGUGAGGAAUAUUGGUCAAUGGGCGCAGGCCUGAACCAGCCAAGUAGCGUGAAGGAUGACUGCCCUAUGGGUUGUAAACUUCUUUUAUAAAGGAAUAAAGUCGGGUAUGCAUACCCGUUUGCAUGUACUUUAUGAAUAAGGAUCGGCUAACUCCGUGCCAGCAGCCGCGGUAAUACGGAGGAUCCGAGCGUUAUCCGGAUUUAUUGGGUUUAAAGGGAGCGUAGAUGGAUGUUUAAGUCAGUUGUGAAAGUUUGCGGCUCAACCGUAAAAUUGCAGUUGAUACUGGAUAUCUUGAGUGCAGUUGAGGCAGGCGGAAUUCGUGGUGUAGCGGUGAAAUGCUUAGAUAUCACGAAGAACUCCGAUUGCGAAGGCAGCCUGCUAAGCUGCAACUGACAUUGAGGCUCGAAAGUGUGGGUAUCAAACAGGAUUAGAUACCCUGGUAGUCCACACGGUAAACGAUGAAUACUCGCUGUUUGCGAUAUACAGCAAGCGGCCAAGCGAAAGCGUUAAGUAUUCCACCUGGGGAGUACGCCGGCAACGGUGAAACUCAAAGGAAUUGACGGGGGCCCGCACAAGCGGAGGAACAUGUGGUUUAAUUCGAUGAUACGCGAGGAACCUUACCCGGGCUUAAAUUGCAGAUGAAUUACGGUGAAAGCCGUAAGCCGCAAGGCAUCUGUGAAGGUGCUGCAUGGUUGUCGUCAGCUCGUGCCGUGAGGUGUCGGCUUAAGUGCCAUAACGAGCGCAACCCUUGUUGUCAGUUACUAACAGGUUCCGCUGAGGACUCUGACAAGACUGCCAUCGUAAGAUGUGAGGAAGGCGGGGAUGACGUCAAAUCAGCACGGCCCUUACGUCCGGGGCUACACACGUGUUACAAUGGGGGGUACAGAGGGCCGCUACCACGCGAGUGGAUGCCAAUCCCAAAAACCUCUCUCAGUUCGGACUGGAGUCUGCAACCCGACUCCACGAAGCUGGAUUCGCUAGUAAUCGCGCAUCAGCCACGGCGCGGUGAAUACGUUCCCGGGCCUUGUACACACCGCCCGUCAAGCCAUGGGAGCCGGGGGGUACCUGAAGUGCGUAACCGCGAGGAGCGCCCUAGGGUAAAACUGGUGACUGGGGC